rfam:Dipodomys ordii contig_70646, whole genome shotgun sequence.
CCAAAGGCCCUUUUCAGGGCCGCCCACAUUCUCUAUGAAAGAGCG